ensembl:lncRNA
GUCCAUGAGGGAGGAACUGACGGAUAAAUUCCUCUCUUUUUCUAUUCAUUAAAUUGGCUUUUCCUGUAGAACAUGGCUGUAAUACAGGGCAGUUUUUCUGGGAGGGGCAGUGGCUGAAGGUCAUGUUGUAGAGAAAUGACCGUGGAGUCAUGAAGAGCAGUGUGAGGAGGUGAGAUUGUGCCAGAGAGAGAAAGUUGAUUAUCUCUGGAUAGGAGAUGGUUGAGCUGCGGCUUACGUAUGAAGGGAGAGGAUUCCAUGUUGUUGUAAAGCUGAGAAGUGGAGAAACUUAGUGUGAGAGCAUUGGUGACAUAUUUCAGUGUUCAGGAAAUACCAUCCCUACAGAGGUUCUAGAGGUUCUAGAGAACCCUUCCUGCGGGAUGGUCACAGUUAAUGCUUAUCUUCACCAAGCUCCCAUUAAGCUCCAGAAGCAGAAAGGCAGACAUGCUUCUUACCCUGGGUGCUCAGGAACGUGACUUCCAUCAAGGAGACCAUCAGCAAAUGUUGGGUGAACUGAAGGACACGCCAAAGACAGGAGGCCCCCGAGGAAAGCCCUGCCAGGCUGCCCCCCAUUCCCUCACCUGUAAAGGAGUGUGCAACUGGAACCAGAACUCUUCUGCCGGUUUGCAGAAACACCUUUGUUUCACACGCACAGUGAAACGAGCUGAGUGCUAGAAAUGAGUGAGUCUGGGAACGGCCCUGUUCAGGGCAGAAGGCCAGUCUCCUUGGGCUGGACAGUGAGGCACCCGCCGCUGGUGCAAUUCCUCCAUUUGGUCAGAAACACGUGGACCGUGCCAUGCUGUUGAUUAUGUCAUAGGGUCACUGGGAACCUUGGUGACCACCCAGCCGCUGCCUGCAGUUUCCGAAUGGUGUGCUCUGAGUGUUAUUGUAUGGCGAUUUUGAGAACAUCGAGGGAGAAAGAAGCAUCCGUUGCUGGUGAGUCAGCUCUGGACACAGCAGGAGCUGCUGUCAGAGGAGGAACCCACGGCAUCUCCCAGGGUGAAAGAGGUCACUUCUCCUCCAACGAAUCACAUUUGACAUCAUUCCAGUCAGCCCUGCAAUUGGGAGGUUUCUGAACUUGGAAUGGUAUUUCCAAUAUUGAUUUGGAGGAAUUUAUUUGGGAAGGACAAGUAAAAUUCGCCCAGAAAAAAAGUACAUUAGCAAGCAAAAGCUUGUAUUGUUAGAUUUCUUGAAUGCAUAUUUUAAGUCUGAAAUAAUUUCAACAGUACAAAGCUGGUGGCCAAACAGAUCCAAGACAAAUGGAAUAGAAAGUCCAGAUAUGGGUUUAUUCUUUCCUUACUUGCUUUCAGAGGAGUGGGUGCUGCCACUUAGAACCUCAAGUGGUAGAAGUUGUGUCACUCUUGGGGGCAAAGCAAGGGGCUACCCCAUCCCCUGCUACUGCUGGGCAAAGGCUGGGGUGAGGGGGGCACCAGCCCAGAGCCACAUUGCUCCACCUCUGGCAGGCU